rnacentral:lncRNA from 11 species
UGGUAUGGUUAAGAUGGACUCAUCUCUUAAUUCCUUUCUUUCCUUCCUUGGGAAUAGCUUGGGUUCUGGAGAAGGUAGAAGCCCUCAUUCAUCAUCCAAACCUGGGAGCCAGCCAAGACUAAGCAUUCAUACCCUUGGACCUGGACCUGCACCCCAACCUGGGAGCCAGCAGAGACUAAGCAUUCAUACCCUUGUACCUGCACCCCAGAGCCAGCAGAGACUAAGCAUCCACAGCCUCGGACCCGUACCUACCUACACCUGAGUGAAAUCAGCCCAGGUGUCCGACCUGCAUCCCACCUGGAAUCCACCUGGACCCCAUGGACUUUCUUCCCGAGACCCUAAGAAGACGGAAAAGAAGACGAAAUGCUCCAUCUUCCAGGAUCACCUCCCAAACAUCUUAACCAUCCUUUGCACCCAUCCAGGCCCCUUGUUGCCCGGAGAGAAAGACAAACCCAUUAUAUAUCCUCGGAUGGAAUAAAAUCCUCCAGUGUCCACCACUUUCGUUUCGGCAGUGCUCCUU